UACGUAGGGAGCAAGCGUUGUCCGGAAUCAUUGGGCGUAAAGAGCGCGUAGGCGGCCCUGUAAGUCCGCUGUGAAAGUCAAAGGCUCAACCUUUGAAAGCCGGUGGAUACUGCAGGGCUAGAGUCCGGAAGAGGCGAGUGGAAUUCCUGGUGUAGCGGUGGAAUGCGCAGAUAUCAGGAGGAACACCAAUAGCGAAGGCAGCUCGCUGGGACGGUACUGACGCUAAGGCGCGAAAGCGUGGGGAGCGAACAGG
rnacentral:rRNA from 1 species